UAGGGAAUCUUCGGCAAUGGACGAAAGUCUGACCGAGCAGCGCCGCGUGAGUGAAGAAGGUUUUCGGAUCGUAAAACUCUGUUGGUAGAGAAGAACGUUGGUGAGAGUGGAAAGCUCAUCAAGUGACGGUAACUACCCAGAAAGGGACGGCUAACUACGUGCCAGCAGCCGCGGUAAUACGUAGGUCCCGAGCGUUGUCCGGAUUUAUUGGGCGUAAAGCGAGCGCAGGUGGUUUAUUAAGUCUGGUGUAAAAGGCAGUGGCUCAACCAUUGUAUGCAUUGGAAACUGGUAGACUUGAGUGCAGGAGAGGAGA
rnacentral:rRNA from 1 species